UACGGAGGAUGCAAGCGUUAUCCGGAUUCAUUGGGUUUAAAGGGUGCGUAGGCGGGCUGUCAAGUCAGUGGUGAAAUCUUUCGGCUUAACCGGGAAACUGCCAUUGAAACUGAUAGUCUUGAGUCAGGUAGAGGUAGGCGGAAUGUGUAAUGUAGCGGUGAAAUGCUUAGAUAUUACACAGAACACCGAUUGCGUAGGCAGCUUACUGGACCUGCACUGACGCUGAUGCACGAAAGCGUGGGGAGCGAACAGGAUUAGAUACCCUGGUAGUCCACGCCGUAAACUAUGAUUACUCGUUGUUGGCAAUACACCGUCAGCGACCAAGCGAAAGCGAUAAGUAAUCCACCUGGGGAGUACGCUCGCAAGAGUGAA
rnacentral:rRNA from 1 species